GGCUGAAAUUCGCCUUCCAUGAAGCCGGAAUUGCUAGUAAUGGCAGGUCAGCAUACUGCCGUGAAUACGUUCCCGGGCCCUGUACACACCGCCCGUCACACCAUGAGAGUUGGGGAUACCCGAAGCCUGUGAGCUAACUUUAUAAGGAGCAGCAGUCGAAGGUAGAAUCAAUGAUUGGGGUGAAGUCGUAACAAGGUAUC
rnacentral:rRNA from 1 species